AAACCAAUUUGCAGUAACUGGAUUAAUAAAAUCAGGAUUGAAUUUUUUUUUAAUCUUUUUAUCAUCACUUUGUUUUAAUGUCUAUAGAAUCACACAGCUUGCUUGUAUAUAUUUAGUUAUUUACAUUUCAACUAACAUCAGAUUUUCAUUUUUUUCUACCGAAUGAAAUACAGGGUGUCUAAAAAAAUGUACUAACACUUUGAAUGACGAGAAAAACAAGAUUUAUGAACAUAGAAGUUGAAAAGCUUCAAGUACAGAAGACAAAUGUAAUUGAAGAAUCAUGUUCGCAAAUGUUCAAAUUGAUGACCAUCAUUGUCCAGACAACACUGAUAACGCAAACCAAGGAAUUUGCAAACGUCACGAAACAGGUCAUUUGGAAUAUCGCGACAUUGUCUUUCAAUUUCCAGUUUCAAUGCAUCAAUUGU
rnacentral:lncRNA from 1 species